rnacentral:lncRNA from 1 species
UUCCGUCCGUGUGCCGGGCUGGCAGUGGGAGUGGUAGCAAGGGAGGGAGGCGGGGACAAUCUUUAGGAAAUCACCGGGUGAUGCCAGGUACACCACUCCCAAGCCGUGGGCGCAUCUUUCCCAGCCCUCAGAGCCUCAGUUUUCUCAUCUGUAAAAUGGGGGUGAUAGUGGUGCCUCCUUCCACAGUACCUUCGUCAAGUGGCACCUCCUCCCUGGGUGCCUGUCCCUUGUCUCUCAGCCUAGAGGUGACAGCCACCCCGGGUGAUGGCAGGCAUGCGUUGGUACGUGCCUUAAGGAGGUGUCUGGACAGUGCAGCAGGAACGCUGUGCAAACAGGGAAGGGAAGAUGUCCCACGGCUGCCCACAGGGCCACUGACUCUCUCGCUCGCAGCCACACUAGGGUCUUACUUGUGUGGAGUCAUUGAUGUAGCAAGGAGGGUGCCAGCGGGGCAGGAUGGGGAGCCUGGGCUAGCAGGGAGCUGCUUCGGGGAGGUCCCCUCGGCGCUGGUGGCGCUCAGCCUUCGGAGCCGGCCUCCGUUGCCCCUGGAGAGCCCCUCCUCCCUUCUCCCUGUCUGCUUGUGGAUGAUGUCACCCAGGACCUCCGCCCCCGCUGCCUGUCGUGUGGCUGGUGGGAGGAUGGACGCGGCCCGGCUGCCUCACUGCUGGGGCAGUGCCUGCACUCCUCGGAGAGGGUCCAUGUGCCUGCCCUCGCCGGGCUCAGGGCUCUCCCCUCAGCCUAGGGGUGCGAGGCCCCUCCCCGGACACUUCACCAUGCCUGCGGGUUCCCUCCGCCCCUGCCCCUGCCAUUCUGAGGGCAGCCUUUGCCAGCAGCUCCUCACCUGCUCCCAUGGGUGCAUCCUGUCUCCUGCCAGGGCGUUGGCGGUUACCCCUGGGGGGCAGAGGCCAGGACGAAGCAUGGCUGGCAGCAGGACUCCUCUUGCUCUGUUUCUCUCCCACACACCCUCUCCCCCUGCACCUGCUGCCCUCUCCACCAAGCACCGCCUCCAUUCAGCACCAAGCCCCAGGAAGACAGACGCUGCGUGGCCACCAGGGUCACCUGCCUGCCUCUCGUCCCACCUGGCUGUGGCCAGGUGUGAGGUCAGGAGUGAGACCUGUCACCUGCACCUGCCCCUAGGACUCAUGGGAAAACAGGAAAUGCCCCUGAUGAGCAGGUGCAGUAACCUCCAGGCAGGGCUGGGACCACGCCCUCAAAGCAGGCGUCGGGCCGAAAGGCCAGGCACUCCCAAGCGGUCGGCAUCUGAGACACAGGCUCCUGCCAGGUGCAACCCGCGGAGUCAAACCCCAAACACUCAGGCCAGUCAGUGGCGGGGCUGCCACACGCCAGGGACAAGUGGGAGGAGCUGGCUGUGGGACACAGCCAGUAGUUCCUGCCGACUAAGAGAGGGCUGAGGUACAGCUGUCCGGCUCUCCGCACGGCACCAGACCACAGCCUGAGCCUCAGCUCACUCAUCUGGAGAAACACUGUGAUCGAGUGGGCUAUGCACGUGGAGCCCCUUGCACGCAGCAAGUUCUCAGUCCUUGUCUUAGGACGAGGAGGAGGAGGACCAUGAGCUGGCAGAACAGAGCACCCCCCCCCCCCCCGACGCUCCGCAAAGCUUGCUCUGAAGGAUUUCAUGCAACAGUUGGGAAGCAGCGCACUCAGAAGGCACUGGGACCUGCUAACGGCUCUGAGAAGUCCUGCAUUCAGGAACCUGACUCCCCACUCUCUUCCUAGAGUCUAGCGUGUAGAACCGCUUUUAGGCAAAUUCCCGUUAUCAGCUUGGGAAACGUUGGAACUUUGGCCCCAUUUGAAUCCUGCAUAAGUAGACAUCAUAAAUCGACCCUCGCUUGCAUGCAGCCACUGGUCAGGAGCCUGGUUUCGAG